rnacentral:snRNA from 1 species
AGCAUUGCACAGUGGCAGUAUCGUAGACAAUGAGGUGUAUCUGAGGUGUGAUUAUUGCUAAUUGAAUAUUUCAUUGAUCUUUCUAACAUUCUAGAAAGGUAGAAACCGGUAACUAAUAUGCCAUAUUUAC